GAUCAUGGCUCAGGACGAACGCUGGCGGCGUGCCUAACACAUGCAAGUCGAGCGGGGACAUUCAAUAAGCUUGCUUAGAGGAUGUCUAGCGGCGGACGGGUGAGUAACGCGUGAGCAACCUGCCUUUAACAGGGGGAUAACGCAUCGAAAGAUGUGCUAAUACCGCAUAAGACCACGGCAUCACAUGGUGAAGAGGUCAAAGGAGCAAUCCGGUUAAAGAUGGGCUCGCGUCCGAUUAGCUAGUUGGUGAGACAACAGCCCACCAAGGCGACGAUCGGUAGCCGACCUGAGAGGGUGAUCGGCCACAUUGGAACUGAGAAACGGUCCAGACUCCUACGGGAGGCAGCAGUGGGGAAUAUUGGGCAAUGGGCGAAAAAGCCUGACCCAGCAACGCCGCGUGAGGGAAGAAGGGUUUCGGCUCGUAAACCUCUGUCCUGUGGGACGAAGGAAGUGACGGUACCACAGGAGGAAGCCCCGGCUAACUACGUGCCAGCAGCCGC
rnacentral:rRNA from 1 species